UACGUAGGCAGCAAGCGUUGUUCGGAGUUACUGGGCGUAAAGAGCUUGUAGGCGGUCUGUCGCGUCUGCUGUGAAAAUCCGGGGCUCAACCCCGGACUUGCAGUGGGUACGGGCAGACUAGAGUGUGGUAGGGGAGACUGGAAUUCCUGGUGUAGCGGUGAAAUGCGCAGAUAUCAGGAGGAACACCGAUGGCGAAGGCAGGUCUCUGGGCUGUAACUGACGCUGAGGAGCGAAAGCGUGGGGAGCGAACAGG
rnacentral:rRNA from 1 species